AACAUGUAGCUGACUAAAUUUUGGCCAAAGCAAGAAUGCCGGUUCUGAUAUUGUUGGGGGGGGGGGGGGGGGUCGAUAAAUGACCAGACUCUUAUAGGCAUGGUCCACUUCAAGAAAAAAAAAGGAAGCUCUCAUAGGCUUCUAUUCUUUUUUAGAAAACAUAGUACAUACGAAGACGCUCACGAUACAUAUGCACAUUUACCUCUAUGAACACAUACACAUAAUCUCUAUUUCUAUGAUCAUCUUUAAGAGACUAAACCGACGGAUCUUAAGAUUGACGGAGUUACCGCAACAGCUUGUAGUUGAAGGGCACACCAUAUCACUGGAAGAAUUAUGCCAAAAAUCCUAAUAAAUCCAGCAGUUAUGCAAGCAUCCAUGUCAAGUUUAGGACUUGAACCAGCUAGGUGACCUAGUUUCAUGACGAGGAAUCUAACCAUCUAAGAUAGACUUAGUUCGCUAGGCCCAUGUUCCCAGGAAACUUAGUAAUUUUAAGGAUACUAUGUAACAUUAUUUGUCCCUCUCUUCCUUCGUCCAACCUUACAUAUAUUUUUCCUCUUUCUCUCUAUUUUAAUUUUUCUUGUUUAUAUAUCUCUACUUUUUGUAAUGUUGUUUUUACUGUCAACUAUAUUAACUAUCCUGUAUUGACUUAUCAAAUAAAAUAUUAUUUUCUUUGGUAAGUGAAUACAUAUUUGCCAAAUAAAUCUUAUAAUUUAUCUGGGUAAGUAAGUCAUUGGCAGGGUUUUAUUUGGUAAACAUUUACAUACACAAUCAGUUUUUUUUUCUUUUUCUUUUUUGCAAAAUUAUAUACACAAUCAGUUUUUUUUUUUUUUUGCAAAAUUACAUACACAAUCAGUUGUGAGCAUGUAAAUCAUGGCCUAGUGUACUAAAAAUUAUACCCAUGUCCAACAGACCAACACACAUGAGUUAUCUCUACUACUAAAAAGUACUCCCUCCGUUCCUAAAUAUAAGUUUUUCUAGAGGUUUCACUAGUAAACUACAUACGGAUGUAUAUAGACAUACUUUAGAAUGUAGAUUCAUCCACUUUGCUUCGUAUGUAAACCUUUAAUGAAAUCGCUUAAAAGACUUAUAUUUAGGAACGGAGGAAGUAGUUUGUAGAUUCGCCUCACCUCACUCUCCUUUUCCUCCACACUCCCCCUUUGGGUUCCUGUUGAUCAAAAUAAACACCAAUAUAAACAGAGUAAUUUAGAAUAAUCUAAAUCGGAUUGGUACUUUUCAAAAGACAUCCAGUGAGGACCGGGCAGUAGCCUUGCAGACUGGGGUUCGACCCCCGUCGGUAGCAAAUUUUUCAGUAUCUCACUCGGGUGUCUUUUUUAUAAAAAUAUGUUCUGAAUGCUAGUGUUCAUGAAUCUUAUUUUUCUGUAAAGCACAUCCAACAUUAAAUCAAUGACUUCACUAGGGAGGGGCGCCACAUAUUAGUCUUCCCAUGCGGCGGCUCCCUUCCAUCCAUUUUUGCAUGCAUGCAACAUGACAUUAUUACGUAUUAUUUUGAUUUUGUAUUUUAAAAAAGAUUUAUCUCCCAAACCGUUAUCUCAAUUAAUGAUCUAUUUUUACCACUGACUUUAUCGCGCCGAAAUCUUUAAAACUAGAUCACAUGUUGAUAUGUUUCGAUAACUUUGUUUUCAUCGGUACUUGCCAAAUUAUUAUCAUUUACUUGUCACAUUAUUUGUCACAUAGUUCUCACAUUAAAUCAACUUGCUUAUCAGGUUUAAGAAUGUCGAUAUACACCACUAAAAAAGUUGAUUCAUUGUACUUUUACUGGUUCAUGCAUUUACUUGCUUAUUGUUAGUGAUUUAAUAAUCACUUUUUAGCUCUACAUAACACUGCAAUAUUUAAAAAGUAAAAAAUUAUUGUCCCGAUAAUUAUGCAUAAUUUUGUGAUAAUUGUACAUCCGUAAAAUGACAACUAUGAUGACAUAAAUGUGGCAACUAGGAAUGACGAAAAAAAAUUCAACGAAACAUGUCAACAUGAGAUCUUAUUUUAAAGGUCUCGUCGAGACGAACCUAACGAUGAAUCAAAUUAUUAAUCUGUGAGACAGAUCAUUUUUAAAAUUCAAAAAAACAUUUAAUACGAUGAUGUAAUCAUGAGAUAGAAGGUUUUUGCUUGCGCGUGUAAGCCGUCAUGAAAGUGCUGUGAUGCGGCGCUUCUCCUUGAAUUUUUCCUUAAUUCAAUAAAGGUUAUCAAAUCAAAACUUUCAUUGCCUUCCCUAUCUAUACUCAAAUCAAAUCAUAUCAUAUCAAAUCCUCGGUUAAAUAAAAAUAAUAAUCUUGCCUUCACUACUCGUACUGAAACCAAAUUAUAUCUUACAAAAUAGUAUAUAGAAUAUGACGGAUGUAAGGUAGUUGUCCGACAAGGUUGACGUUGUAUGUCCCCGUUACAAACGCAAAAAAGUAAAGUAUAUGGAAAGAGGAUGGAGUGGUCUGUCUCCGUAUACUUCUAUAUCAAAAUAAUUAUAGAUAAAAAAAAUUAAACUAGUUUUUCUUUUUCUUCUAGUGUAAACUAGUUUUUUUAACUAUAAGAACAACUUUAAUGGGGCGACCCAUUUCGUCCGCCGUCGUUCGUUUGGGCCGACGCAGACAAAAUGAUGGGCCAACGCGCCAACCCAAAUGAACGCGCGUCCGGUUUUCGUUCACGGUCGACGCAUUCCCGGUCCAUUUUUGUGCCGGAUUUGCGUCGGCGCGGACAUGCGGCGGACGCGUGCUCGCUCGCCUUUUCCUCCCCCCGGCCCCGCUGGUCGGUGGCACAUUGGCCUCCCCCCAUCCAACAACACCCCUCGUCCGCCUCCUUCGUCGCAGACGCCACCGCCCAUUUUUGCCGACGACUCUGCCAGCUGCCCACUCCCAGCAACGCCGCCGUCAUCCGUCCACUCUCAGCAACGCCGCCCACUCCCACGUUGCCCGCCGCCGCCGGCUUGACGCCGGGGAGGCGACUGCUUCACACCCCCACGUUGCCCGCCGCCGCCGGCUUGACGCCGGGGAGGCGACUGCUUCACACCCCCACGCCUCCGACCAAGAAGCCGCCUCGCCGCCCGGCCAGAUCCUCAUCGGCGUCACUCGUCGGACGCCGACAGGGCAACUAGUUGGUCUGUGCGCGCCGCGACUCCCUUCGCGGGCCGUCUUCUUCGUCGACGUCCGCAAGCUGUUCGACAGUUUGACAAUGUACGAAAAAUGGACACCGCCGACGAGUUCUUUUUUCACAAUUUCCUUUGCGACUCCAACGAUUCGUCGUCCGAUGACAAGGAGGAGAUGUUGGUUGCCGUGUUGGUCCAUCACCACCUCAACAACCAGCGACCGUUGUUCCGUGGCUCCAUUCUAGACCACCUUCCGGCGUUGAAUCGCAACCGAGAGAGCGGGCAUUUCCUUCUUUCGAAGGACUAUUUUGAUACAGCAAACCCGUUGUUCAAACAUCAACAAUUCCGCCGCCAUUUCCAUAUGAGUAGACAUAUUUUCAAUCGUAUUAGAGAUGGAGUGGUCGGCUAUGAUGACUAUUUGGAGUGCAAAGCGGAUGUCGUUGGCAAGAUAGGUUUUUCCUCUUAUCAGAAAUGCACUACCGCCAUCCGAAUGCUUGCAUACGGAGUGCCCGGUGAUCUCAUUGACGAGUACGUCCGUAUGAGCGAGUCUACUUGCCUAGAGUCCCUGUAUAAGUUCUGCAAGGUUGUUAUUGCUGUGUUUGGCCCUGAGUACUUGAGAGAGCCGACUGCUGAAGAUACAGCCCGUUUGUUGGCGAUGAAUGCCAGCAGAGGCUUCCCAGGGAUGCUUGGUAGCAUAGACUGCAUGCACUGGGAGUGGAAGGACUGCAAUUUUGCUUGGCAAGGACAGUAUAAGGGCCAUGUCAAGGCUUGCACUGUCAUACUAGAGGUCGUUGCAUCUGAAAAUCUCUAGAUCUGACACUCUUUCUUUGGCAUGGCCGGAUCACACAAUGAUAUCAACGUGCUUUAGCACUCGCCGGUGUUUUCUAGGCUUGCCGAAGGCAAACCCGCCGGUGAACUUUACUGUCAACGGCCACAAUUACGACAAAGGAUACUACCUAGGUAACGGUAUCUAUCCUCAGUGGACCACUAUUGUCAAGAAAAUACCCGAUCCUGUCGGAGAGAAGAGGAAAAGAUUUGCCAAAGAGCAAGAGGGUGCUAGGAAGGAUGUCGAGCGUGCCUUUGGUGUUUUGCAAUCUCGAUGGGGCAUCGUUCGGUAUCCUGCUAAUACCUGAAGCACGCAGAAAUUAUGGGAGGUGAUGAGUGCUUGUGUGAUCAUGCAUAAUAUGAUCGUAGAAGACGAGCGCCGAACGUCUGUACGAUCUAGGGUUUUAGUUUCAUGGUGAGAAUGUUGUGCCUGAGCAUGGAGAAGCGACAAUGUUUGAACAGUUCAUCCAAUUUCAUCAAGACAUGCAUGAUUGGAAAACUCACGUGUAAUUGCAAAAUGAUUUGGUUGAGCAUAUGUGGGCUAGUGUUGGCAAUCAAUAGAUUUAUCUUCCUUUAUUCGUUAGCAAAACUAUGUGUGAACUAUGUGAGACAUUUUUAUUAUUAUUCGGCUUAUAAUAAUCAUGUUAUUUUCGGUUUAAAUUAUGUUACUUGAUUCAAACUAUGAAAAUCUUGUAAAAUAGGGUGGCCAGCCGAGCACGUCGGCACAUAUGGGUCGACGCGUUGAACGCGCUGUCGACCCAUAUCUAAAACAGGACGGAUGCCGGACGGGCGGCCGACCCAAAUGGACAAAAAACGGAUGAAAUCGCUGUCUGUUUGGAUUGGCCCGUUGAAGUUGCUUUAAUUAUUUAUUAGGUAUAUAGAGGGUGUAAAAGGAAAGCAAUUUCUGGGCCAAAAGGUUUGUUCUCUUUUUGACGAGGGUGAAAACAAAAGUCUGGUUAUCACGGGUUGAUCUGGAAAACCACACCCCAGCGGGUGACUAGCUAGCAUGUUCUGGAUGCUUCGGUGAUACUGCAAUUAAUUGGACGUGCUGCGCCACGGUUGGCAGGGUGAAAUUGUCGAUGGUGGACGUGGAGCGCGGGCGCAUGUAUGCAUUUUGUCCGCGUCCGCCGGCGGACGGGCGGUCACCGUGCGGAGUACGUCGGUUCAAUCAGCAGUGGCUGGCGUGCCGCCCAUGGCCCCCACGAGCCCCGAGACGUGGACGGUGGAUAGCCAUCCUCCCCGCUCUAUAAAUCACGGCCACACCUACCUACCUUCCCUUCCAGAUCAGAUCAGAGACACAUAGCAGAGCAGAUAACCAACUCGAGGGAGAUGUCGUGCUGCGGAGGCAACUGCGGGUGCGGAUCCGGCUGCAAGUGCGGCAACGGCUGCGGAGGGUAAGCAAACCAUCCAUCGUCCCCAAUCCCCUCCUGAUUUCUGAUCUUCCGCGUUCGAUCUCUCCAUCCUCCUCAAUCUUUUCUUUCAAUUCUCUCCCUCGAUCCAUCUAGCAUGCAUGUCCGUCGGUUCCAUGGGGGGAGAUCGAUCUGCAGCCUGCGGGCAUGAUAGAUAGAUAGAUAGCCCUCGUGAUCGAUGAAGUUGUGAACUUGUGAUUGACGGCGUCUGCGUGCGUGCGUGCGUGCAGGUGCAAGAUGUACCCUGGGAUGGACGAGGGGGUGAGCACCACCGCCACCUCCUCCCAGGCCCUCGUCAUGGGAGUGGCGCCCUCCAAGGGCAACGGGCCCUCGUUCGAGGCCGCCGCCGCCGAGAACGGCGGGUGCAAGUGCGGCCCCAACUGCACCUGCAACCCGUGCACCUGCAAGUGAUCAGUCGAAUCAACACAUGGAGACGGCAUGGAUGGAUGGACGGACCUGACGAAGGAGCACUACAGUACGAGUAGUAGUAGCCAUCCAUGAAUCGCGAGUGUGUGUUUCGUUUUUAAUUGCCACCUACUAGAAUAAGACGGGAUCUAUCGUAUCGUAAUCGUAUCGAGCUAGUCAACGGAUUAUGUGUACGUACCCCUUGUGGCUUGUACGGUGUUUUGUGUUGUGUUGUCAUGUGCUUCUCCUACCGCUUUAGUUCCGUCCUCGUGUGCCUUCCCCGUCUUAUCUACAUAUAUAUACUCCUGUGUAUGUAGACAAUAAUAAUUUGGAGUUUCUGUCUUUUUCUUUUUUAUCUCGUAAUAUGUGUCUUGUUUCUAUCAUAAAGAUCAAAGUAUAAAUCACAUAAGAAAACAUAUCUGCGUUUGACACCAAACGUCCAUCACCAAUGACACCAUCAUAGCAGUUAUCAAAGGAAAAAAUAACGAAUCACUUGACGCGGCUUCAUUAUUAAUAUAUAGCUUUGUGAACUUUAAGACCUUUAAGGUGGCUCACAGAAACUGCAGAUCUAGUACAACGUCAAAGGAAAAACACCGUACCUGCCAUCCACAAACCCCACAACACGGCCCGUCGUUCGAGGCCGCCGCCGAGAACGAAGGGUGCAAGUGCGGCCCCAACUGCACCUGCAAGUGAUCAAUCAAAUCAAGACAAUGAUAUGGCAUGGAAAAACAAAAAAUUGACAAAAUUAACCUAUAGAGCAAAAGAACUCACAAAGGGAAUGCAAAUGGAAAAAAAAUCACCCCGGCUCACCCUUUCGUGUGGCGUCCGGUGUCACACUAUAUGUAUGACGCCUAAGACGUCGGCGCCACAUGCCUGGCCACGCUGGCGCAACUGUCCCCACCCCCAGGCAGUGCGACGCCUAAGCCUCAUGCUACAGUAUGGCGCCGAGCGCUUAGACGCCAUACUGUGACUUAUCCAGCCACGGGCCAGCCCCCUCUCCAUCCCCUCCUCAUUCCUCUCCCUUCACUUCACCUCAUAGCUUGUGUUCAAGUCUUCCCUUUCUCAAAUCCCUCUCCAAAUCAGCAGAUCUGAAGGUUUGGACCGGACAUUUGUUGUCCAAUCCCUCCCUAAGGUGAUCCCCCGAUCCCCUCCUCAUCCAAGCAAAAAUCUCUUUUGGUCACUUUGUUGCAAAUUUAAGAAAACCCUAGUUUUUUCAUGAAAUAUGGGAUGUAUAUGAUAUUGUUGUAUUUGUUUGUAUUUUAGGAUAAGGGGUAUGAUGGGUUAGGAUUAGGGUUGUUUGGAUGUUUGCAUUAUGGUUGUGUUAGGGUUAGGCUAGGGUUAGGAUUAAGAUUGUUUGGAUGUUUGCAUUAUGGUUGUGUUAGGGUUAGGCUAGGGUUAGGGUUAUGGAUGUUUGGAAGUUAUGAAUAAGGUUUAUUUUUAUUAAGUAGAUAUUGUAGUAUUUGGAUGAUUGCUUAUAGAAAAUAUUGUAUGUUGUGUUGUUUAGGGAUGGGAAGAACAUGUGUUUAUGUUCAUCACGUGGACAAAGAUGCCUUUUUAAAAGGCAAUAUGAUCCGGACCCGGAUGAGCUUGACAUGGUGUUCGAUUUCUGUCCUAGCUGUGCUGAAUGUUGGAACAAGUCCGAAAGGAUUUGAAUUGGGUGGACCCUAGUGAUGUAGUUGAGUUUGAUGGUAGGCAUAAUGCGGGAUUUGGAAUGCACAUUCGUUGGAAGACCAUGCGUGUCAACUCCGAGCAACGUUGGCUUGCAUACAAGGAUACGGUGGCCGAAUCACUAGACAAGGCUCUAGAGUUAUUUGCCAUCAAAACAAAUGUUCCUAACUUGCAGUUGGAUUUGAACCGGGUUGCCUCUUCGAUUGGUGAAGCUAGUCCUCCACGCAUCAACGAAGAGGCCAACAUUGAACCUCUUUCAGCACAACAAUCUUGUAUCCAACAUGAACCAUUGCUAGAGGAUAAUGAUGAGCACGAUGAUGAUGAGAAUGAUGGUACUGCUCUUCAUGACAACAACCUUGGUGAUUUGGACAAAUAUAAUUUGCAAGAGACAAUGGACCAUUCUAUUCCGUACUCACGUGGCUAUGCAUCCGAGUCGGACGAUGAGGGUCCCGACGAAGAAGUUGAUGAGGAAGGGUUCACGACAAAGGAGGUUGAAGCUUUCACGAAGGUAUUAGGGCGGGAUCACCAGACACCAUUGUUCGAGGAUCUUAGCCUUGCGGAUGAAGCCGUGGUUGACGGAGGCGAAGGCAUAUUGUUUGGAGUUAGGCCACCUUCUCACCGGGACAAACAUGGGAAGAAUAUUAUUUUGCCGGGAUCAAAGUUCCAAACAUUCCUUGAACUGAAGAUGUGGUUGGAUGAAUAUUCUGUUACACAUUAUAGGCCACACAAAGUUGUUCAUUCAAACAUGAAGCUGCGUUACACGGUUGCAUGUGAGGAUUCAGGGUGUCCUUGGAUUGUCCGUGCAAGACCAUGGAAAGGAGGGCCAGGAUGGAAAAUUAUCAGUUGUAUGCCUCACACGUGUCGAGGCAAGAGGUUUGAUGGCAAGCUUUCGUUGCAAAACCAUAGACAACUCACUUCCGAGUUCAUUGCUUAUAAGCUUUCCAACUCCAUCUCCUCUCUUCCUACAAUGAGCAUAAAAAGCGUACAAGACCUUGUGAAGGCCCUCUUUCACUACAAGGUGAAAUACGGGAAGGCAUGGAAAGCGAAGCAAGCCGCAUUCAAGAUGUUGUAUGGUGAUUGGGAGCAAGCAUACAACCGACUACCUAGGUUGUUGGGAGCUAUUGCCGCCACUAACCCAGGCAUGGUUCAUGUGGUCGAGCCGUAUGGGGAGAAAACAAGGAUUCACAAUGGAAAGAGGGUCCGCGUAUUUGUCCGUGCAUUUUGGGCAUUUGAGCAAUGUGUGAGGGCUUUUCAACACCGUCGGCCGGUCAUCUCCAUCGAUGGCACGUUUUUGACCCGACAAUUCAAGGGCACUUUGUUGGUUGCAAUAGCAAGUGAUGCCAAUAACCGGUUGAUGCCUUUGGCUUUUGCUUUGGUUGAGGCAGAGAACAAUGUUAACUGGGAAUGAUUCUUGCAUAUUUUGAGAACCAAAGUAUAACCGUUUGAAAGGGAAAUCUGUGUCAUAUCGGAUCGCCAUCAAGGAAUACUUAACGCGGUUGACAUUGUCAUUUCCGGCCAUGCUCCUUUGCAUCAUCGAUGGUGCAUGACGCAUUUCUGUGCAAACUUCUACCGGGUAUGUGGUAGCAAGGAGUUGGCGGAUGAUCUUCAAGAUUGUUGUCAAGCAUUUUCAGACAAACGAUUUGCAAGAUUGUACAAUGCUUUGGUUGCAAACAAAAAACUUGAUGCAGGUGGGCUUGAGUUUCUCAACAGGCACAUUCAACUUCGGCCCAAGUGGGCACGAGCUUAUGACGAAGAUGGUCGAAGAUAUGGUCAAAUGACAAGUAACAUGGCAGAAUGCUUCAACCGGGUGCUGAAGGGUGUCUGUGAGUUGCCGGUGACGGCAAUAGUUCAAUACGCAUUCGACAAGUUGAGAGCAUACUUUCUAAAGUACUCGCAAGAAACGGAUGAUCAAAUUGCGGGAGAGAACAAGAAAAAGUACAAGUACCAGGUCCUACCAAAGGUUGACAAAUGGAUGGUAUUUCAAUCAUGGAAGGCUGACUCCCAAACGGCUACGUUGUACAAUAACGAGGAUUGGACAUACCAAGUGAAUGAGCCUGGAGGAACGACAAACGAUGGCGAGCAACAUGGAAACAGGGCGUUCAAGGUAUCUUUAUCGUUGUGUGAUUGCUCUUGUGGGAGGCCAAGGUUGCUUCAUCUCGCAUGCUCACAUUUGUACACGACAGCUCGCACUAGGAAUGUGGACGUCAACCAUCCACUAACUAUGAGGGAGUCCGAGUUCUCGAUCAUGACCACGAAGCAUACAUGGGCUCCUAGAUUUGAACCAUACUUUGACCAAUCACAAUGGCUGGAGUAUCAUGGAGUACAACUAUGGCCCGACCUGGAGUGGAAGGCUGUGAAACGGGGAAGACGAAAGACAAAGCGUUUUAGAGGAGACAUGGAUGGAUGGGGCCAUGGUGGUGGCAGAGAAAUGGGGAACAAUCAAUUCCAAGAGCCUACUGAGAGAUCACAUUGUGGAGAGUGCGGUGUAACAGGGCACAACACAAGAAGGUAUAUGAAGCCAAAGAAGAAAUCGAAAAACAAUGAUUCAAGGUUAAGCCAACCAAGUCCUAGCCAACAUGGUCAUAGCCAAGCAAGUACAAGCCAACAAGGUCCUAGUCAAGCAAGUACAAGCCAACAAGUUCCUACUCAACAUGUUCCUAGCCGACUUGGGCUUACUAGAGGACGUGGUGGUGGUGGUGCUAGAGGCAGGGGUGGGAUAGGUCGAGGUGGUGCUAGAGGCAGGGGUGGGAUAGGUGGUGGUGGUGCUAGAGGCAGGGGUGGGAUAGGUGGUGGACUUAGUAGGAUUGGUAUGCGUGGAUACCUAGGGGGACCAUUUUCGUAUGUCACAUAUUUGACUUAUCUUUAUCAUGUUGUUUUUCAUGCUCCUUUGUAUGUUAUUGUACUAACUCUGAGCCUUGAUGUGUUUAUGUAGGUAUGGCGGCAUCUCAACCAAACAAGGCAACAACGGAGUGGGGGGAGGAGAAGGAUGCAGUUGGUGAGGACCAGGGGUUGAGGGAGAGGGCUGCAAAGAAGUUGAGAGAGGAGGACAUACCAAUAAGGGCAUCCAUUUGGUGCCGCCAUCCCUCAGAAUCAGUGCUCAUACAAAGAGGCUUCCCCUCGAUCGGAAGUGCGGUGAUCAUGGAAACAUCUUGAAGAGUCACUGUCAUCUCUCCGGUCCGGAGGUGAAAACUAUGGGUCUCCAGCCUCCACCAAUCAAUAAGUGCAGUGAUUGCCGCAACGUUCAGGUUGGGUGUUGACCGACUCACAAACUGAAUGAAUGGAAGGAGUCCUGUCAUCUCGAUAUAUGGUGUGUACCGCUCAUCGUACUGCAUUACAGUCGAUGCCCCGUGAGACCGAAUCUUCAAGGGCACAAGCUUCUGCAAACAAAUAGGAGUGAUAUGAUUACAGUUUCAUUUUAUUAAAUAAAUACAUGAUUUUUUUAACAUAUGAUCUACUUACCAUUUCCUUCUCCGACAUCAAAUAGGCCCGGUGUUCAACGUCAUAGGCAUCAUUGAAAAGCCACACCAUCCUACAUAUCACAAAAAAUACACUUAUGAAUCUACUUAUGAAUCCUACAUAUCAUUCAACUUAUGAAUCCUACAUAUGAAUCCUACAUAUCACAAAAGCCACACCACACCAUCCAAAAGGCAUCAUUCAUCUUAUGAAUCCUACAUAUCACAAAAAAUACACUUUAAAAAAAAUACAUGCAACUAACUCCUCAUCUACAUAGAGCUAACUCCUCAUCUACUUAUGAAUCUACAUAGGACUAACUCCUCAUCUACAUAGGACUAACUCCUCAUGAUCAUACAUAGGACUAACUCCUCAAAUUCAAUCAAAAUAUGGCUCUCAACCUAACUAACCCAAAUCUGAAAAAUACACAAUGCUAUUCGGAUAGAUAGAUGGGAAACGGAAGAGAGUACCUCGUACACAAGUUUGGGGGAUCAAUCCACAGAAGAAAUCACCAGAUCUGAAGCAUUUAGAAGAGGGGAUUCAGAUGAGGAGAAGAGGCAGCCGCCUGAUACGUCUCGGUCGUAUCUACUUUUCCAAACUCUUUUGCCCUUGUUUUGGACUCUAAUUUGCAUGAUUUGAAUGGAACCAACCCGGACUAACGUUGUUUUCAGCAGAAUUGCCAUGGUGUUGUUUUUGCGCAGAAAUAAAAGUUCUCAGAAUGACCUGAAAAUUUACGGAGAAUUUUUGUGGAAUAUAUAAAAAAUACUGCCGCAAGAAUCAACAGAGGAAGUGGAGCGUGGAGCCCAGAAGCCCACCAGGCGCUGCCCCCCCUGACCGCGCCUGGCAGGCUUGUGGGGCCCACAAAACUCCACCACCUCCAAAUCCAGCUCUAUUUAGUCCAUUUCGCCCGAAAAAAUCAAGGAGAAGAGUUCAUCGCGUUUUACGAUACGAAUGCGCCGCCACCUCCUGUUCUUCAUCUGGAGGGCAGAUCUGGAGUCCGUUCUGGGCUCCGGAGAGGGGAGAUCGUCGCCGUCGUCAUCACCAACCUUCCUUCAUCGCCAAUUCCAUGACGCUCUUCACCGUUCGUGACUAAUCUCAUCGUAGGCUUGCUGGACAGUGAUGGGUUGGAUGAGAUCUAUCAUGUAAUCGAGUUAGUUUUGACGGGGAUUGAUCCUAGUAUCCACUAUGUUCUGAGAUUGAUGUUGCUACUACUUUGCCAUGCUUAAUGCUUGUCACUAGGGCCCGAGUGCCAUGAUUUCAGAUCUGAACCUAUUAUGUUGUCGCCAAUAUAUGUGUGUUCUUGAUCCUAUCUUGCAAGUUGUAGUCACCUACUAUGUGUUAUGACCCGACAACCCCGGAGUGACAAUAGCCGGAACCACUCCCGGAGAUGACCAUAGUAUGAGGAGUUCAUGUAUUCACCAAGUGUUAAUGCGUUGGUCCGGUUCUUUAUUAAAAGGAGAACCUUAAUAUCCCGUAGUUUUCAUUAGGACCCCGCUGCCACGGGGGGGAUGGACAAUAGAUGUCAUGCAAGUUCUUUUCCCUAAGCACGUAUGACUACAUACGGAAUACAUGCCUACAUUACAUUGACGAACUGGAGCUAGUUACAUAUCUCUUCGUGUUAUAACUGUUGCAUGAUGAAUAGCAUCCGGCAUAAUCAUCCAUCACCGAUCCAAUGCCUACGAGUCUUUUACUACUGGUCCUUGCUACGUUACUUUGCUGCUACUGCUGUCACUACUGCUACGUUACUCUGUUGCUACUGCUGUUACUUUGCUGCUACUGCUGUCACUUUGCUGCUACUGGUUACUGUUGCUACUGUCCUAUCAUACUACCUUGCUGCUGAUACUUUGCUGCAGAUACUAAAUGUUUCAGGUGUGGUUGAAUUGACAACUCAACUGCUAAUACUUGAGAAUAUUCUUUGGCUUCCCCUUGAGUCGAAUCAAUAAAUUUGGGUUGAAUACUCUACCCUUGAAAACUGUUGCGAUCCCCUAUACUUGUGGGUUAUCAAGACUAUUUUCUGGCGCCGUUGCCGGGGAGGCACAACUAUAUUCUCCGAGUCACUUGGGAUUUACGUCUGCCGGUCACUAUGAGGAAUCCGAUAGAUCCAAGAACUAAAGUCUUGCCCUCAACUACGAGGACAAGCAAGGAACUGCCAUCUAGCUCUGCACUUGAUUCACCUUCCGUUAUGAGUAAGUUUGCGACACCACCUCCUGCUAGAAAUCUUGAUAUGUCGCCUGUGCUUGAUGAUGCUACUUCUGCUGCCCAUGAUGCUUAUGAUGAUGCUAUGCUUGAUACUGCUUUGCCACUAGGUGCCCUUGAUGCACAAAUUGCUAGAAUUGAUGCUAGAUGUGAUGAUACUUCUGAAACUGCUAAUACUAUUGAAGUAGAACCUGCUAUUUUGCCUGCUAGAACUAGCUCUCCUAGACAUGAAUUGCCUGAUAUGCCUGAGUGAUAUGUUAUGGAGGAAGAGAUAGCUGAGGACUUUCUUGCUUGUAAGGAUAGCUAUGAUGUUGAGAAAUUACUGCUCAAGUGGAAAGAAAAAUCUUUGAACGCUAGGAUGAAAUACGACCCGAAGUUUGCUACUUCGCCUAUCUUUGUGACCGAUAAAGAUUAUGAAUUCUCUGUCGACCUUGAGUUAAUCACUCUGGUCGAAUCUGAUCCUUUUCACGGUUAUGAGUCUGAAACGGUUGUAGCCCAUCUUACCAAACUGCACGAUAUAGUCACCCUAUUCAUUAGUGAGGAAAAGAUCCGCCACUACUAUAUCCUCAAGCUGUUUCCUUUCUCGCUAAAGGAUGAUGCUAAGACCUGGUUCACUUCUCUUGCUCCUGGUUGUGUGCGUAGCCCCCAGGAUAUGGUCCACUACUUCUCUGAAAAAUAUUUCCCUGCCCAUAAGAAGCAAGCUGCCUUGCAGGAAAUAUACAACUUUGCUCAAGCUCAAGAAGAGAGUCUCCCACAAGCGUGGGGGAGGCUCGUCUAGCUACUGAAUGCUUCUAGAGAAUGAAAUACUUGAUAUCUUCUAUAAUGGACUUACCGAUGCUUCUAGAGACCACCUAGAUAGUUGUGCUGGUUGUGUUUUUAGGGAACGAACUGUAGAACAAGCUGAGAUCCUAUUGAAUAACAUCUUGUGCAAUGAGAAUGCUUGGACUAUUCCCGAAGCACCUCCUAAGACAACUCCUAAGAAGAGAGGUAUUAUAUUCCUCAGUCCCAAAGAUAUGCAAGAAGCUAAGAAAUCUAUGAAAGAGAAAGGCAUUAAAUAUGAAGAUGUCAAAAAUCUACCACCUAUAGAAGAGAUCCAUGGUCUUGAUAAGCCGAUACAGGUAGUAGAAGUAAAUUCUCUACGUAGGUUUGAUGAGAGUGAUAUUCCUUUUGAUAAACCUGCUAGCCUAUGCCUGGAUGAAUUUGAUAACUUUGUUGCCAAACAACAGAGUCUCAAUGAUUAUGUUAGCAGACAAUUGGAACAAAAUGCUCGUAUGCUUAGUCAUUUAAGUGCUUGUGUGGACAGAAAUGUCAAUGAUCUUAAGCUUCUGAGUAGACAUGCCUCUAUGGUUACUACUCAGGUGGAACAAGUACUUAAGUCUCAGAAUGACUUGCUCAAUGAGUUGAAUGACAAUUCUGUCAGAGUCAUUACUAGAGGCGGUAGAAUGACUCAGGAACCUUUGUAUCCUGAGGGUCAUCCUAAGAGAAUUGAACAAGAUUCUCAAGGAGUUAGCACUGAUGCACCUAGUCAUCCUAGGAAGAAGAAGAAAGAUGAUAGGAACUUGCACGCUAGCAACCCAGAUGCUGUUACCCCUGAGAGUCCAAACGAUGCCUCUGUUUCUGAUACUGAAACACAAUCUGGUGAUGAACAUGAGCCUAAUGAUAAUAUCGAUAGUGAUGUUCAUGUGGAUGCUCAACCUAGCAAUGAUAAGGAUGUGGAGAUUGAACCUGUUGAUCUUGAUAACCCACAACCUAAGGCUAGGAGAUGCGAUAAGAAUGACUUCACUUCUAGGAAGCAUGGUAAAGAAAGGGAACCAUGGGUUCAGAAACCCAUGCACUUUCCUCCCAAACCAUCCAAGAAAAAGGAUGAUGAGGAUUUUGAGCGCUUUAUUGAAAUGAUUAGACCUGUCUUUCUGCAAAUGCGUUUGACAGAUAUGCUCAGAAUGUCUCCGUAUGCUAAGUACAUGAAAUAUAUUGUGACUAAUAAGAGGAGGAUACCUGAGGUUGAGAUUUCCACCAUGGUCGCUAAUUAUACCUUCAAGGGUGGAACUCCUAAGAAACUAGGUGAUCCCGGAGUGCCCACUAUACCUUGCUCCAUUAAAGGAAACUACGUUAGAACUGCUUUAUGCGACCUUGGAGCCGGUGUUAGUGUCAUGCCUCUCUCUCUUUAUCGUAGACUUGAACUGGAUAAGUUGACACCCAUUGAAAUCUCUCUGCAAAUGACCGACAAAUCAACUGCUUUUCCUAUCGGCAUUUGCGAGGAUGUGCCUGUUGUGGUUGCGAACGUUACUAUCUUAACACACUUUGUUAUCCUGGAUAUUCCCGAGGAUGAUGCCAUGGCGGUCAUUCUUGGAAGACCCUUUUUAAACACUGCAGGGGCUGUUAUAGAUUGCAACAAAGGCAAUGUCACUUUCCAUGUCAACGGUAAUGAGCAUACGGUGCACUUUCUGAAGAAACAAUAUCGAGUACAUUGCAUCAAUGCUAUCGAAAAAUCUUCAUCGAUUCUUAUUGGGAGCUUUGAAUGCCAUAUACCUCUUGUUAAGAUGAAGGAUGAUUUGAUUGUCGGGGAUAUACACAUCCCCAUUGAGGUGACCUAGUGACUAUUCAAAAAUUCUCUGUUCUCUUUUGCGAUUCGAAAAAGUUUGUCAAGGAGACUUGAUCAACCUCAUUGACAUAUUUCUUUUGCUGACCAUGAGAUGGAUGAAUCGAGGAGUCACAAACCUCUGUUCCAAGCUUUCACCUUCGGUUGCUUAGAAGAAAAAUGAUAGAUUUAGUUUAGUUUUCCCUGUUUCAUGUUUUAGCAUCCCGAAGAAAAGUACCCCAAAAUUAAAAGUUCUCCGAAUGCCGUGAAAAUCAAGUAUGAUUUUUUCUGGAAUUUUUGAAAAAUACUGAGACGAAGAGCUAGUCUGGGGGCUGCACCAGUGGGCCACAAGCCCUGGAGGUGCGAGCACCCCCUGGCCACGCCUACCAGGCUUGUGGGGCCCACGUGCACCCCCUCCACUCAUUCUAGCUCCCAUCUGCUUCCCCUACCUCCAGAAAAAAUCGUUUCGCAGCUCAAACCCGUGUUCUUGCUCUUCUUGCUGGGAUUUUCGAUCUCCUUGUGCAAAGCACCAUUCACCAAACUGUUUUGGGGAAAUUACUCCUUGGUAAGUGACUCCUCCAUUGGUCCAAUUAGUUUUUGCUCUAGUGCCUUAUACUUCGCGUAUUUUUGCUGCCUUGAUGACCAUGUUCUUGAGCUUUGCAUGCUAAUUUUAGCUGGUCCCAAGUAGUUUGGAUGCGUAAUAUGGUCUCUAGGCACUUGUGGGAGUAGUUGCUAUGAGUUUUGUUGAGCCUUGUUCACUUUUCCUUAGAAUCACUAAAACUUUCAGAAAUUUUCAAAGAUAGAAAAGGGAAAAGAUGAGGAGGUUCUUAAGAGGCUCUUCAAGCCGUGACCCCAAGGAUGAUGGAAGUGAGAAGAAGCCCAAGUAUCGGGUCCCUUGAGUUGCAGAAGUUCGAGCGUGCGAGUGGCCAAGCGAUGUGUUCUUACGCGCCGCCGGACUUUAUGAGGACUUUUAUUACUUGGUGGAGAACGCAGGCCUUACCGCCUUCGUUGAAGAUAAGUGUCCGCAAUACCUCCUAUGGUUGAGUUCAAAUUAUAUGAUAUCUUCGUACAAAGCUUUAACUUCUACCCUAGGAAGAAUCCUCCUAUGGUUGAGUUCAAAUUAUAUGAUAUCCCCCAGUGCAUGUGACUCCAGGAUUUUUGCAAUGUUUGCAAAUUGCCUUUUGUUGGGGAUAUUCAUGAACCUCGUCCACGAGACUUGGAAGCUUUCAUCGAUACUAUUGCUGUAGGAGAGGAGAGAGGAGUGUCUUGCGCUAGAGCUGUAGCAUACAUUUUCCCGUGCUUCGGUACUUCUCACUAUUUGUGCGAAAAUGUUUGAUUGACUGUGGGAAAGUUGGGUCCCUGAUACGUCUCAAACGUAUCUAUAAUUUUUGAUGGUUUCACGCUGUUAUCUUAUCAACUUUGGAUGUUUUGUAUACCUUUUAUAUCUUUUUUGGGACUAACUUAUUAAUCCAGUGCCAAGUGCGAGUUCCUGUUUUUUCUGUGUUUUUGACUCUUUUCAUAUCUGAUUUUGGAACGGAGUCCAAAUGGAAUAAAAUCCCCGAAAUAAUUUUUUCCAGAAAGGAAGAAGGUCAGAGGACGUGAGGGCCAACGCAGGGGGGCAACAGGGAGCCCACAAGCCCUGUUGCCGCGACCAGGGGGCCCCGCGGCAACCAGGCUUGUGGCCUCCCUGGUGCUCCCGUGACCUAGCUCUUUGGCCUAUAAAUUUCCUAAAAAUCCAGAAAAAAUAAGGGCAUCCACGAAAACACUUUUCCGCCGCCGCAAGCUUCCGUGUCCGCGAGAUCUCAUCUGGAGACCCUUCCCGGUGCCCUGCCGGAGGGGACUUUGGAGUUGGAGGGCUUCUACAUCAACAUCAUCGCCGCUCCAAUGACUCGUGAGUAGUCCACUUCAGACCUACGGGUCCGUAGUUAGUAUCUAGAUGGCUUCUUCUCUCUCUUGGAUCUUCAAUACAAAGUUCUCCAUGAUCUUCAUGGAGAUCUAUCCUAUGUAAUCCUCUUUGGCGGUGUGUUUGUCGAGAUCCGAUGAAUUGUGGAUUUGUGAUCAGAUUAUCUACGAAUUAUAUUUGAGUCUUUGCUGAUUUCUUAUUUGCAUGAUUUGAUAUCCUUGUAAGUCUCUCCGAGUCUUGGGUUUUGUUUGGCCAACUAGAUCUAUGAUUCUUGCAAUGGGAGAAGUGCUUGGUUUUGGGUUCAUACCGUGUGAUGACCUUUCCCAGUGACAGAAGGGGCAGAAAGGCACACAUCGUGUUGUUGCCAUCAAGGGUAACAAGAUGGGCUUUCAUCAUAGAUUUGAGAUUGUUCAUCUGCUCAUGUCAUCUUGCUUAAGGCGUUACUAUGUUCUUUUGAACUUAAUACACUAGAUGCAUGUUGGAUAGCGGUCGACGUGUGGAGUAAUAGUAGUAGAUGUAGAAAGUAUCGGUCUUCUUGUUUUGGACGUGAUGCCUAUAGAAAUAAUCAUUGCCUUAGAUAACGUCACGACUUUGCGCGGUUCUAUCAAUUACUCGAGAGUAAUUCGUUCACCCACCGUCUACUUGCUUUCAUGAGAGAAGCCACUAGUGUACACUACGGCCCCCGGGUCUAUUCACAACUUUCAUUUCCACUUUCACUUUUACUUUGCUUUGUUUACUCUUUGCUUUCAGUUCUCACUUUGCAAACAAUCUAUAAGGGAUUGACAACCCCUUCAUAGCGUUGGGUGCAAGCUCGUUGUGUUUGUGCAGGUACUUGUGACUUGAACGCUCCUCCUACUGUAUUGAUACCUUGGUUCUCAAACUGAGGGAAAUACUUACCGCCACUGUGCUACAUCACCCUUUCCUCUUCAAGGGAACACCAACACAAGGCUCCAAGGCCGCGGGGAAAUCCUUUGCAUAUUUGCCAAGGAAGUCCCUAUAGGCGUAGCCGUAGCAGCAGGAUUCCCGGCGCCGUUGCCAGGGAAGAUCUGUUGUCGCAGUAGCAGAAGGAUUUCUGGCGCCGUUGCCAGGGAGAAGAGAUCAAGUCAAGAUCUAUCCAAGUAGGUGUCACAAACUCAUCUCUUGCAUUUACCUUUUUUGCUAGUUGCCUUUCGUUUUCCUCUCCCCCACUUCACAUUUGCCGUUUUCAUUUGCCUUUCUCCUUUGCCGUUUUCUUUUGCCUUUCGCCCUUUUCUCUUGCUUGCUUUCUGUUCGUUUGUGUGCCUUGUGCCUUCAAUAUGCUUGCAUCUUCGCUUGCUGAAAAUCUAGUGAUAUGGAUCCUCAUCCACUUGCUAAUCUCUUUAAGAGAUCCAAUUAUGUUGAUCCAAUUGCUACUAAGUUGAGUGCACUUGACUUUCUCUAUGGAGUUUUGCUUGAGAUGUGUGAAUCUGAAAAUCGUGAUGAAGAAAUUCAUGAAGUGAUUCACGAGGGCUCCUUGGAUGAAAAGCAUGAUUGCAAUGGUUUCACUAUAAAUUCUAUUAGUGACAAUCAUGCUAAAAAUAUGCAAAACCCUAAGCUUGGGGAUGCUAGUUUUGCUAUGACCACUACUUAUUGCAAUAAUCAUGAUUGGGGUGAUGAUCUUUCUUAUGAUCUUGAAAAUUUGUUUAAACCUCAUGAUGAAUAUGAUAUUUGCAAUAAUAUUGAAAGUGGGUUUGGAGAAGUCAUGACUUUAGUUGAUGAUAAUCCCACUAUUUUUGAAGAGCGUCAACUUUGCAUGCAUGUGGAUCAUGAAAAGAAUACCCUAUGUGAUAAUUACAUUGUUGAAUUCGAAUAUGAUCCCACAUGCAACUGCUAUGAGAGAGGAAAAUAUUUUGGUAGAAACUUUCAUGUUACCAAAUUACCUCUCGUUAUGUGGAGAUUGCUAUUGUCUCUUUCUUCUUCCUUGCAUAUGGCAACUAUUGGUUGUCUUGACAAUCUGUUUUCCUCUAAAAUGCCUAUGCAUAGGAAGUAUGUUAGACUUAGAUGUGAUUUUCACAUGCUUUAUGAUGCUCUCGUUUGCUUCAAUUAUUCUCUUUUGUGUGAGCAUCAUUGAAUUAUCAAUGCCUAGCUAAGGGCGUUAAACAAUAACGCUUGUUGGGAGGCAACCCAACAAAUCUAUCCUUUUUAUUUCUGUUUUGUGUUUUCCACACUUUCAUAAUUCUGUUAUGAUUAUGUUUUUUGUGUUUCUUUUGCGUUUGUGCCAAGUAAAACCGUUAUGAUUAGUCUUGGGGAUGAUCGUUUGGUCAUGCUGGAAAAGACAGAAACUUUCUGCUCACGAAAAGAAUUUUCAUAUUUUUUCUGUAAGACAUUUUGAAUUGAUUCUUUUUGCUGCUGAUUGCUACGCAAAUUCUUCAGACUGUCAUAAUUUAUCAGAAUUUUUGAAGUACCAGAAGUAUACGAAGUAUACAUAUUGCUACAGACUGGUCUGCUGUUAACAGAUUCUGUUUUUGUUGAGUUGGUUGCUUAUUUUGAUGAAACUUGUUGGGGAACGUCGCAUGGGAAACAAAAUUUUCCUACGCGCAUGAAGACCUAUCAUGGUGAUGUCCAUCUACGAGAGGGGAUGAGUGAUCUACGUACCCUUGUAGACCGUACAGCAGAAGCGUUAGUGAACGCGGUUGAUGUAGUGGAACGUCCUCACGUCCCUCGAUCCGCCCCGCGAACUAUCCCGCGAUCAGUCCCACGAUCUAGUGCCGAACGGACGGCACCUCCGCGUUCAGCACACGUACAGCUCGACGAUGAUCUCGGCCUUCUUGAUCCAGCAAGAGAGACGGAGAGGUAGAAGAGUUCUCCGACAGCGUGACGGCGCUCCGGAGGUUGGUGAUGACCUUGUCUCAGCAGGGCUCCGCCCGAGCUCCGCAGAAACGCGAUCUAGAGGAAAAACCGUGGAGGUAUGUGGUCGAGCUGCCGUGGAAAAGUCGUCUCAAAUCAGCCAUAAAACCUCCGUAUAUAUAGGUGGGAGAGGGGGGCCUUGCCUUAGGGCUCAAGGAGCCCCAAGGGGGUCGGCCGAGCCAAGGGGGGAAGGUCCUCCCCCCCCAAACCGAGUUGGACUCGGUUUGGUGGGUGGGAGUCCUUCCUUCCCUUCCCACCUCCUCCUUUUUUUUCUUUCUCUUUGAUUUUUCUUCCAAUGCACAUAGGGCCCUUUUGGGCUGUCCCACCAGCCCACUAAGGGCUGGUGCGCCACCCUCAAGGCCUAUGGGCUUCCCCGGGGUGGGUUGCCCCCCCCCUCGGUGAACUCCCGGAACCCAUUCGUCAUUCCCGGUAACUCCAAAAACCUUCCGGUAAUCAAAUGAGGUCAUCCUAUAUAUGAAUCUUCGUUUCCGGACCAUUCCGGAAACCCUCGUGACGUCCGUGAUCUCAUCCGGGACUCCGAACAACAUUCGGUAACCAACCAUAUAACUCAAAUACGCAUAAAACAACGUCGAACCUUAAGUGUGCAGACCCUGCGGGUUCGAGAACUAUAUAGACAUGACCCGAGAGACUCCUCGGUCAAUAUCCAAUAGCGGGACCUGGAUGCCCAUAUUGGAUCCUACAUAUUCUACGAAGAUCUUAUCGUUUGAACCUCAGUGCCAAGGAUUCAUAUAAUCCCGUAUGUCAUUCCCUUUGUCCUUCGGUAUGUUACUUGCCCGAGAUUCGAUCGUCAGUAUCCGCAUACCUAUUUCAAUCUCGUUCACCGGCAAGUCUCUUUACUCGUUCCGUAAUACAAGAUCCCGUAACUUACACUAAGUCACAUUGCUUGCAAGGCUUGUGUGUGAUGUUGUAUUACCGAGUGGGCCCCGAGAUACCUCUCCGUCACACGGAGUGACAAAUCCUAGUCUUGAUCCAUACUAACUCAAUGAACACCUUCGGAGAUACCUGUAGAGCAUCUUUAUAGUCACCCAGUUACGUUGCGAUGUUUGAUACACAUAAAGUAUUCCCCCGGUGUUAGUGAGUUAUAUGAUCUCAUGGUCACAGGAACAAAUACUUGACACGCAGAAAACAGUAGCAACAAAAUGACACGAUCAACAUGCUACGUCUAUUAGUUUGGGUCUAGUCCAUCACGUGAUUCUCCUAAUGACGUGAUCCAGUUAUCAAGCAACAACACCUUGUUCAUAAUCAGAAGACACUCACUAUCUUUGAUCAACUGGCUAGCCAACUAGAGGCAUGCUAGGGACGGUGUUUUGUCUAUGUAUCCACACAUGUAAAUGAGUCUUCAUUCAAUACAAUUAUAGCAUGGAUAAUAAACGAUUAUCUUGAUACAGGAAUUAUAAUAAUAACUAUAUUUAUUAUUGCCUCUAGGGCAUAAUUCCAACAGUCUCCCACUUGCACUAGAGUCAAUAAUCUAGUCCUCACAUCAUCAUGCGAAUUACAUUGUAAUAAAUCUAACACCCAUACAGUUCUGGUGUUGAUCAUGCUUAGCCCGUGGAAGAGGUUUAGUCAGCGGGUCUGCUACAUUCAGAUCCGUGUGCACUUUGCAUAUAUUUACGUCCUCUCCUUCGACGUAGUCGCGGAUGAGGUUGAAACGUCGUUUGAUGUGUCUGGUCUUCUUGUGAAACCGUGGUUCCUUUGCUAAGGCAAUGGCACCCGUGUUGUCACAGAACAAGGUUAUUGGAUUCAGUGCGCUUGGCACCACUCCAAGAUCCAUCAUGAACUGCUUCAUCCAGACACCCUCCUUAGCCGCCUCCGAGGCAGCCAUGUACUCCGCUUCACAUGUAGAAUCUGCUACGACGCUUUGCUUGGAACUGCACCAGCUUACCGCACCCCCAUUAAGAAUAAAUACGUAGCCGGUUUGCGACUUAGAGUCGUCCGGAUCUGUGUCAAAGCUUGCAUCGAUGUAACCUUUUACGGCGAGCUCUUCGUCACCUCCAUACACGAGAAACAUCUCCUUAGUCCUUUUCAGGUACUUCAGGAUAUUCUUGACCGCUGUCCAGUGAUCCACUCCUGGAUUACUCUGGAACCUACCUGCCAUACUUAUGGCCAGGCUAACGUCCGGUCUAGUGCAAAUCAUUGCAUACAUGAUAGAACCUAUGGCUGAAGCAUAGGGGACGGAGCGCAUAUGCUCUCUAUCUUCAUCAGUUGCUGGGCACUGAGUCUUACUCAAUCUCGUACCUUGUAAAACUGGCAAGAACCCUUUCUUGGACUGUUCCAUUUUGAACCUCUUCAAAACUUUAUCAAGGUAUGUGCUUUGUGAAAGUCCUAUCAGGCGUUUUGAUCUAUCCCUAUAGAUCUUAAUGCCUAGAAUGUAAGCAGCUUCUCCUAGGUCCUUCAUAGAGAAACUUUUAUUCAAGUAAUCCUUUAUGCUCUCCAAAAACUCCACGUUGUUUCCAAUCAGCAAUAUGUCAUCCACAUAUAAUAUUAGAAACGCCACAGAGCUCCCACUCACUUUCUUGUAAAUACAAGAUUCUCCAACCACUUGUAUAAACCCAAAUUCUUUGAUCACCUCAUCAAAGCGUUUGUUCCAACUCCGAGAUGCUUGCACCAGUCCAUAAAUGGAUCGCUGGAGCUUGCACACCUUGUUAGCAUUCUUAGGAUCGACAAAACCUUCGGGUUGCAUCAUAUACAAUUCUUCCUUAAGGAAACCGUUAAGGAACGCCGUUUUGACAUCCAUCUGCCAGAUUUCAUAAUCGAAAAAUGCAGCUAUUGCUAACAUGAUUCUGACGGACUUAAGCAUCGCUACGGGUGAGAAUGUCUCAUCGUAGUCAACUCCUUGAACUUGUGAAAAACCCUUUGCCACAAGUCGAGCUUUAUAAACGGUCACAUUGCCGUCAGCGUCUGUCUUUCUCUUAAAGAUCCAUUUGUUCUGAAUAGCCUUGCGGCCUUCAGGGAGUACCUCCAAAGUCCACACUUUGUUCUCAUACAUGGAUCCUAUCUCGGACUUCAUGGCUUCUAGCCAUUUGUUGGAAUCUGGGCCCACCAUUGCUUCUUCAUAAUUUGCAGGUUCAUUGUUGUCCAACAACAUGAUUGAUAAUACGGGAUUACCGUACCACUCUGGAGCAGCACGUGGUCUCGUCGACCUGCGUGAUUCGACAGAAACUUGAACCAGAGUUUCAUGAUCAUCAUCAUUAACUUCCUCCUCAACCGGCGUCGCAACGACAGAGGUUUCCCCUUGCCCUGCGCCACCAUCAAGAGGGAUGGGAGGUUCGACAACUUCGUCAAGUUCUAUCUUCCUCCCACUCAAUUCUCUCGGGAGAAACUCCUUCUCGAGAAAAGCUCCGUUUUUAGCAACAAACACUUUGCCCUCGGAUUUGAGAUAGAAGGUGUAUCCAAUGGUCUCUUUUGGGUAACCUAUGAAGACGCACUUUUCCGCUUUGGGUUCCAGCUUUUCAGGCUGAAGCUUUUUGACAUAAGCAUCACAUCCCCAAACUUUAAGAAACGACAACUUUGGCCUUUUGCCAUACCACAGUUCGUAUGGUGUCGUCUCAACGGAUUUUGAUGGUGCCCUAUUUAAAGUGAAUGCGGAUGUUUCUAAUGCAUAACCCCAAAACGAUAACGGCAAAUCGGUAAGAGACAUCAUAGAUCGCACCAUCUCUAAUAAAGUACGAUUACGACGUUCGGACACACCAUUACGCUGUGGUGUUCCAGGCGGUGUCAACUGUGAAACAAUUCCACAUUGUUUUAAGUGAGCACCAAACUCGAAACUCAGAUAUUCACCCCCACGAUCAGACCAUAGGAACUUGAUCUUCUUGUUACAAUGAUUUUCAACUUCACUCUGAAAUUGCUUGAACUUUUCAAAUGUUUCAGACUUGUGCUUCAUUAAGUAGACAUAACCAUAUCUACUCAAAUCGUCAGUGAAGGUGAGAAAAUAACGAUAUCCGCCGCGUGCCUCUAUGCUCAUCGGACCACACACAUCGGUAUGUAUGAUUUCCAACAACUCACUUGCACGCUCCAUUGUUCCGGAGAAUGGAGUUUUAGUCAUCUUGCCCAUGAGGCAUGGUUCGCACGUGUCAAGUGAAUCAAAGUCAAGUGACUCCAAAAGUCCAUCGGCAUGGAGUUUCUUCAUGCGCUUUACACCAAAGCGGCAGUGCCACAAAAAUAUGGCGCUAUCAUUGUUAACUCUAACUCUUUUGGUCUCAAUGUUAUGUAUGUGUGUAUCGCUAUCAAGAUUCAAUAUGAACAAUCCUCUCACAUUGGGUGCAUGACCAUAAAAGAUGUUACUCAUAGAAAUAGAACAACCAUUAUUCUCUGACUUAAAAGAGUAACCGUCUCGCAAUAAACAAGAUCCAGAUAUAAUGUUCAUGCUCAACGCAUGCACUAAAUAACAAUGAUUUAAGUUCAUAACUAAUCCUGAUGGUAACUGAAGUGAAACUGUGCCGACGGCGAUUGCAUCAACCUUGGAACCAUUUCCUACGCGCAUCGUCACUUCAUCUUUCGCCAGCCUUCGUCUAUUCCGCAGUUCCUGUUUCGAGUUGCAAAUAUGAGCAACAGAACCGGUAUCGAAUACCCAGGCACUACUACGAGAGCCGGUUAAGUACACAUCAAUAACAUGUAUAUCAAAUAUACCUGAUUUUUCUUUGGCCGCCUUCUUAUCUGCCAGAUACUUGGGGCAAUUGUGCUUCCACUGACCCAUACCCUUGCAAUAGUAACACUCUGUUUCAGGCUUAGGUCCAGCUUUGGGUUUCUUCGUCGGAUUGGCAACAGGCUUGCCGCUCUUCUUUGAAUUACCCUUCUUGCCUUUGCCGUUUCUCUUGAAACUAGUGGUCUUAUUCACCAUCAACACUUGAUGCUCUUUACGGAGUUCAGACUCUGCGACUUUCAGCAUCGGAAACAACUCGCCGGGUGACUUGUUCAUCCCUUGCAUGUUGUAGUUCAACACAAAGCCUUUAUAGCUUGGCGGCAGUGAUUGAAGGAUUCUGUCAGUGAUAGCCUCUUGUGGGAGUUCAAUCCCCAGCUCACCUAGACGGUUUGAUUACCCAGACAUUUUGAGCACAUGUUCACUGACAGACGAGUUCUCCUCCAUCUUGCAAGCAUAGAAUUUAUCGGAGGUCUCAUACCUCUCGAUCCGGGCGUUCUUCUAAAAGAUAAACUUCAACUCCUGGAACAUCUCAAAUGCUCCAUGACGCUCAAAGCGACGUUGAAGUCCCGGUUCUAAGCCAUACAAGACUGCACAUUGAACUACUGAGUAGUCCUCCUUACGUGCUAACCAAGCGUUCUUAACAUCCUGAUCAGCCGUAGCGGGUGGUUCAUCUCCUAGCGCAGCAUUAAGGACAUAAUCCUUCUUCCCAGCUUGUAAGAUUAGCUUAAGAUUACGAGCCCAGUCUACAAAGUUGCUUCCAUCAUCUUUCAACUUAGCUUUCUCUAGGAACGUAUUAAAAUUCAGGGUGACUAUCGCGUGAGCCAUGAUCUACAACACAAAUAUAUUCAAAGUGGACUUAGACUAUGUUCAAGAUAAUUAGAGUUUAACUUAAUCAAAUUAUUCGCUAAACUCCCACUCAAAAAGUACAUCUCUCUAGUUAUUUGAGUGGUUCAUGAUCCACUUACACUAGCUCAAGUCCGAUGAUCACGUGAGUUGAGUAAAGUUUCAGUGGUAAGCAUCCCUAUGCUAAUCAUAUCAUCUAUAUGAUUCAUGAUCGACCUUUCGGUCUCAUGUGUUCCGAGGCCAUGUCUGCACAUGCUAGGCUCGUCAAGCUUAACCCGAGUGUUCCGCGUGCGCAACUGUUUUGCACCGUUGUAUGUGAACGUUGAGUCUAUCACACCCGAUCAUCACGUGGUGUCUCGAAACGACGAACUGUAGCAACGGUGCACAGUCGGGGAGAACACAAUUUCGUCUUGAAAUUUUAGUGAGAGAUCACCUCAUAAUGCUACCGUCGUUCUAAGAAAAAUAAGGUGCAUAAAAGGAUUAACAUCACAUGCAAUUCAUAAGUGACAUGAUAUGGCCAUCAUCACGUGCUUCUUGAUCUCCAUCACCAAAGCACCGGCACGAUCUUCUUGUCACCGGUGCCACACCAUGAUCUCCAUCAACGUGUCGCCAUCGGGGUUGUCGUGCUACUGAUGGUAUUACUACUAAAGCUACAUCCUAGCAAAAUAGUAAACGCAUCUGCAAGCACAAACAUUAGUAUAAAGACAACCCUAUGGCUCCUGCCGGUUACCGUACCAUAGACGUGCAAGUCGAUAUUAUCUAUUACAACAUGAUCAUCUCAUACAUCCAAUAUAUCACAUCACAUCGUUGGCCAUAUCACAUCAUAAGCAUACCCUGCAAAAACAAGUUAGAUGUCCUCUAAUUUUGUUGUUGCAUGUUUUACGUGGUGACCAUGGGUAUCUAGUAGGAUCGCAUCUUAGUUACGCAAACACCACAACGGAGAUAUAUGAGUUGCUAUUUAACCUCAUCCAAGGACCUCCUCGGUCAAAUCUGAUUCAACUAAAGUUGGAGAAACCGACACUUGCCACUCAUCUUUGAGCAACGGGGUUACUCAUAGCGAUGAAACUAGUCUCUCGUAAGCGUACGAGUAAUGUCGGUCCAAGCCGCUUCCAUCCAACAAUACCGCAGAAUCAAGAAAAGACUAAGGAGGGCAGCAAAACGCACAUCACCGCCCACAAAAACUUUUGUGUUCUACUCGAGAAGACAUCUACGCAUGAACCUAGCUCUGAUACCACUGUUGGGGAACGUCGCAUGGGAAACAAAAUUUUCCUACGCGCACGAAGACCUAUCAUGGUGAUGUCCAUCUACGAGAGGGGAUGAGUGAUCUACGUACCCUUGUAGACCGUACAGCAGAAGCGUUAGUGAACGCGGUUGAUGUAGUGGAACGUCCUCACGUCCCUCGAUCCGCCCCGCGAACUAUCCCGCGAUCAGUCCCACGAUCUAGUGCCGAACGGACGGCACCUCCGCGUUCAGCACACGUACAGCUCGACGAUGAUCUCGGCCUUCUUGAUCCAGCAAGAGAGACGGAGAGGUAGAAGAGUUCUCCGGAAGCGUGACGGCGCUCCGGAGGUUGGUAAUGACCUUGUCUCAGCAGGGCUCCGCCCGAGCUCCGCAGAAACGCGAUCUAGAGGAAAAACCGUGGAGGUAUGUCGUCGGGCUGUCGUGGAAAAGUCGUCUCAAAUCAGCCCUAAAACCUCCGUAUAUAUAGGUGGGAGAGGGGGGGCCUUGCCUUGGGGCUCAAGGAGCCCCAAGGGGGUCGGCCGAGCCAAGGGGGGAAGGUCUCCCCCCCCAAACAGAGUUGGACUCGGUUUGGUGGGUGGGAGUCCUUCCUUCCCUUCCCACCUCCUCCUUUUUUUCUUUCUCUUUGAUUUUUCUUCCAAUGCGCAUAGGGCCCUUUUGGGCUGUCCCACCAGCCCACUAAGGGCUGGUGCGCCACCCUCAAGGCCCAUGGGCUUCCCCGGGGUGGGUUGCCCCCCCGGUGAACUCCCGGAACCCAUUCGUCAUUCCCGGUAACUACGAAAACCUUCCGGUAACCAAAUGAGGUCAUCCUAUAUAUCAAUCUUCGUUUUCGGACCAUUCCGGAAACCCUCGUGACGUCCGUGAUCUCAUCCGGGACUCCGAACAACAUUCGGUAACUAACCAUAUAACUCAAAUACGCAUAAAACAACGUCGAACCUUAAGUGUGCAGACCCUGCGGGUUCGAGAACUAUGUAGACAUGACCCGAGAGACUCCUCGGUCAAUAUCCAAUAGCAGGACCUGGAUUCCCAUAUUGGAUCCUACAUAUUCUAUGAAGAUCUUAUCGUUUGAACCUCAGUGCCAAGGAUUCAUAUAAUCCCGUAUGUCAUUCCCUUUGUCUUCGGUAUGUUACUUGCCCGAGAUUCGAUCGUCAGUAUCCGCAUACCUAUUUCAAUCUCAUUCACCGGCAAGUCUCUUUACUCGUUCCGUAAUACAAGAUCCCGUAACUUACACUAAGUCACAUUGCUUGCAAGGCUUGUGUGUGAUGUUGUAUUACGGAGUGGGCCCCGAGAUACCUCUCCGUCACACGGAGUGACAAAUCCUAGUCUUGAUCCAUACUAACUCAACGAACACCUUCGGAGAUACCUGUAGAGCAUCUUUAUAGUCACCCAGUUACGUUGCGAAGUUUGAUACACACAAAGUAUUCCUCCGGUGUUAGUGAGUUAUAUGAUCUCAUGGUCAUAGGAACAAAUACUUGACACGCAGAAAACAGUAGCAACAAAAUGACACGAUCAACAUGCUACGUCUAUUAGUUUGGGUCUAGUCCAUCACGUGAUUCUCCUAAUGACGUGAUCCAGUUAUCAAGCAACAACACCUUGUUCAUAAUCAGAAGACACUGACUAUCUUUGAUCAACUGGCUAGCCAACUAGAGGCUUGCUAGGGACAGUGUUUUGUCUAUGUAUCCACACAUGUAAAUGAGUCUUCAUUCAAUACAAUUAUAGCAUGGAUAAUAAACGAUUAUCUUGAUACAGGAAUUAUAAUAAUAACUAUAUUUAUUAUUGCCUCUAGGGCAUAAUUCCAACAAAACUAUGGAUAGUAUCGGGGGGUAUUAGCCAUGGAAGAUUGAAAAUACAGUAACCCAACAUCAACAUAAGUAGAAUUUAAGUUUGCUACAGUACCUAAGGAAGUGGUGGUUUGCUUUCUUAUACUAAUGUUAUCACGAGUUUCUGUUUAAGUUUCGUGUUGUGAAGUUUUCAAGUUUUGGGUGAAGUUCUUAUGGACAAAAAGAUAAAGAGUUGCAAGAUCUCAAGCUUGGGGAUGACCAAGGCACCCCAAGUUGAUUCAAGGAUGCUGUAAAGGCCUAAGCUUGGGGAUGCCCUGGGAAGGCAUCCCCUCUUUCGUCUUCAAUCCAUCGAUAACGUUACUUGGGGCUAUAUUUUUAUUCACCACAUGUUAUGUGUUUUUCUUGGAGCGUCUUGUAUCGUAGGAGUCUUCUAUUUUUGUUGUGUCACAAUCUUCCUUGCUGCACACCUAGAGAGAGAGACAUGCACUCACCGUGAUUUUGUCGAGCUUCACUUAUAUCCUUUGGUUAGACAAUUCAGCUCACAUGUGCUUCACUUAUAUCUUUUGAGCUAGUUGAUUUUGCUCUAUGUGCUUCACUUAUAUCUUUUAGAGCACGGAAGCGUGUGGCUUCGUAGUUGAUCUAUGCUAUGAAAGUAGUCUCAAAAGGGGUAGUUAUCCAAAGGGAUAUGAAAACUUCCACCUUCAUGUGCAUUGAAUAGUUAGAGAAGUUUGAUUCAUCUCAAUUAGUUUUGAGUUGUGGUUGUGGUAAUAUUGAAGUUAUAUUAGUAAGGUGUUGUGGAUCUAGAAAUACUUGUGUUGAAGUUAGUGAUUACCGUGGCAUGCACGUAUGGUGAACUGCUAUGUGAUGAAGUCUGAGCAUGAUUAGUCAAUUGAUUGUCAUCCUUUGUGUGGCGGUCGGGAUCGCACGAUGGUUUAUACCUACCAACCCUUCCCCUAGGAGUAUGCGUUGAAUGCUUUGUUUCGAUUACUACUAAAACUUUUGCAAUAAGUAUAUGAGUUCUUCAUGACUAAUGUUGAGUCCAUUGUUUAGAUGCACUUUCACCUUCCACCAUCACUAUCUUCUUUAGUGCCGUGCAACUUUCUCGGGUGCACAAAACCCACCAUUAGCCUCCCUCAAAACAGCCACCAUACCUACCUACUAUGGCUUUUUUCAAAGCCAUUCAGAGAUAUAUUGCCAUGCAACUACCACCAUGACAUGUGCCACCACUUCUACAUUGCCAUUGCAUGAUCAUAAGAUAGCUAGCAUGAUGUUUCCAUUGAUGUCUAUUCCAUGCUAGUUCAUUGUCACAGUACACUACCGAAGGCAUUCCAUAUAGAGUCAUCAUUGCUCUAAGUUUUGAGUUGUAAGUGUGAUGAUCAUCAUUGAUGGAGCAUUGUACCAUGUGAGGAAAUAAAAGAGGCCAGCGAAGCCCAUUUACAAAAAGAGGCCAAAGAUGCCCACAAAAAAAGGCCAAAGAGCCCACCAAAAAAAUGAGAGAAAAAGAGAGAAGGGACAGUGCUACUAUCUUUCCACACUUGUGCUUAUUAAGCACCAUGAUCUUCAUGAUUGAGAGUCUCUCGUUUUGUCACCACCAUAUAGCUAGUGGGAAAUUUUAAUUAUAUAACUUGGCUUGUAUAUUCCAAUGAUAGGCUUCCUCAAAAUUGCCUUAGGUCUUCGUGAGCAAGCAAGUUGGAUGCACCCCCACUAGUUUUCUUUAAGAGCUUUCAUAUACUCUUGGCUCUAGUGCAUCAAUUGUAUGGCAAUCCCUACUCAUUCACGUUGAUAUCUAUUGAUGAGAAUCUCCAUAGCUCAUUGAUAUGCCUAGUCAAUGUGACCAUCCUCUCCUUGUUUGUCUUGCAACCUCCACCACACUCCAUACCACUUUUAGUGCUAAAACCAUGGCUCACGCUCAUGUAUUGCAUGAGAGUUGAAAAGAUUUGAGAAAGUAAAGGUGUGAAAACAAUUACUUGGCCAAUACCGGGGUUGUGCAUGAUUUAAAUUCGUUGUGCAAGGAUGAUAGAGCAUAGCCAGACUAUAUGAUUUUGUAGGGAUAACUUUCUUUUGGCCUAGUUAUUUUGAAAGUUCAUGAUUAUCUUGCUAGUUUGCUUGAGUAUUGUUGUCUCCACGUCAAUAACAAACUAUUGUUUUGAAUCUAAUGGAUCUGAACAUUCACCUCACAUAAGAGGAGUUACAAAGGACAUCUAUGCUAGGUAGCAUGAAAGCAUAAAAAAUUCAUUCUUUAUCACUUCCCUACUCGAGGACGAGCAGGAGUUAAGCUUGGGGAUGCUUGAUACGUCUCAAACGUAUCUAUAAUUUUUGAUGGGUUCACGCUGUUAUCUUGUCAACUUUGGAUGUUUUGUAUACCUUUUAUAUCUUUUUUGGGACUAACUUAUUAAUUCAGUGCCAAGUACCAGUUCCUGUUUUUUUCCGUGUUUUUGACUCUUUUCAGAUCUGAUUUUGGAACGGAGUCCAAACGGAAUAAAAUCCCCGAAAUAAAUUUUUCCAGAACGGAAGAAGAUCGGAGGACGUGAGGGCCAAGGUAGGGGCCCACAGGGAGCCCACAAGCCCUGUUGCCGCGGCCAGGGGGGCCGCGGCAACCAGGCUUGUGGCCUCCCUGGUGCUCCCCUGCCCUAGCUCUUUGGCCUAAAAAUUCCCUAAAAAUCGAGAAAAAAUAAGGGCAUCCACGAAAACACUUUUCCACUGCCGCAAGCUUCCGUUUCCGCGAGAUCUCAUCUGGAGACCCUUCCCGGUGCCCUGCCGGAGGGGACUUUGGAGUUGGAGGGCUUCUACAUCAACAUCAUCGCCUCUCCAAUGAUUCGUGAGUAGUCCACUUCAGACCUACGGGUCCAUAGUUAGUAUCUAGAUGGCUUUUUCUCUCUCUUGGAUCUUCAAUACAAAGUUCUCCAUGAUCUUCAUGGAGAUCUAUCCGAUGUAAUCCUCUUUGGCGGUGUGUUUGUCGAGAUCCGAUGAAUUGUGGAUUUGUGAUUAGAUUAUCUAUGAGUUAUAUUAGAGUCUUUGCUAAUUUCUUAUUUGCAUGAUUUGAUAUCCUUGUAAGUCUCUCUGAGUCUUGGGUUUUGUUUGGCCAACUAGAUCUAUGAUUCUUGCAAUGGGAGAAGUGCUUGGUUUUGGGUUCAUACCUUGUGGUGACCUUUCCAAGUGACAGAAGGGGCAGCAAGGCACGCAUCGUGUUGUUGCCAUCAAGGGUAACAAGAUGGGCUUUCAUCAUAGAUUUGAGAUUGUUCAUCUACAUCAUGUCAUCUUGCUUAAGGCAUUACUAUGUUCUUUUGAACUUAAUACACUAGAUGCAUGUUGGAUAGCGGUCGACGUGUGGAGUAAUAGUAGUAGAUGUAGAAAGUAUCGGUCUACUUGUUUUGGACGUGAUGCCUAUAGAUAUAAUCAUUGCCUUAGAUAACGUCACGACUUUGCGCGGUUCUAUCAAUUGCUCGAUAGUAAUUCGUUCACCCACCGUCUACUUGCUUUCAUGAGAGAAGCCACUAGUGAACACUACGCCCCGGGGUCUAUUCACAACUAUCAUUUCCACACUCACUUUUACUUUGCUUUGUUUACUCUUUGCUUUCAGUUCUCACUUUGCAAACAAUCUAUAAGGGAUUGACAACCCCUUCAUAGCGUUGGGUGUAAGCUCUUUGUGUUUGUGCAGGUACAUGUGACUUGAACGCUCCUCCUACUGGAUUGAUACCUUGGUUCUCAAACUAAGGGAAAUACUUACCGCCGCUGAGCUACAUCACCCUUUCCUCUUCAAGGGAACACCAACGCUAGGCUCCAAGGCCGCGGGGAAAUCCUUUGCAUAUUUGCCAAGGAAGUCCCUAUAGGCGUAGCCGUAGCAGCAGGAUUCCUGGCGCCGUUGCCAGGGAAGGUCUGUUGUCGCAGUAGCAGUCCCUUAGCUCCCCAGAUCUUGCGGCCUUGCGCGAAGCCCUUUAUAAUGAUAAAACUUAUAGCUUGGGUGCUAUAGUAGCUCAACGGUUGAACACGAACCGUUCUAAAGGCGUUGUCUAUGGAGGUAUCUAUGCUACUCGUCUUGCUAGACAUUUUGAGAUACCUAUUAGACUCGACGAGGAAGAAGAGAUUCUUCUUCCCGAGAGAUAUCUAGAUUAUGAUAGCAUGGUUCGCCAUGACUUUCUUGUUAGAGAUAUAAAUAGAAGGAUGAUUUAUAACCUGGUAUUUAGUCAGGGUACUCGUGAGACUAUUACUUUGCCUGCUCCUUCUUUGUUUAAUCUUCAUGCAUGCAGGUACAUUAUUAUGCCCUUGGACAUCUACGCAUAUUGGGGCUUAGCCCAACCACAGGUGCCCGUGCCCGAGCCACCAGUCGUGUACCAGACGCCAGUUUAUCAGUAGGAGCCAGAAGAGCUCACACAACAGUGGCAAUCUCAGUCCACUCCGGAGUACCCCGGAGCGGGUUAUUUCCCUCCUUGGGAGUAGACCAACUUAGGCCAAAAGCCUAAGCUUGGGGGAGUACGUGUUUCUCACCGACUUUAUAUUCUUGCUUAUGCUUUCACUUUGUUUGUCGGUGUUCACACUUUGCCACUGUAUCAUACAUGCUAGUUUAUUUUCUUUUUCUCAUUUUCUUUUCGUGUGCCUGUCUAGUUUGAGAAAACCCAAAAAGAUUUUCUUGUUCUUCUUUUGCUUGUUGGGAGCUUUCCCGUGUAAAUAGUUUUCUUUUUCUUUGGGUCAAGGUAGAAGACCAUGGUUACAAUGUUUAGUGGCUCUCACAUGCAUAUCUAUUUAUCUGUUAAAGAGCCAUAUUACUUUGUCUUCUCCUUUGUGUCUUCUUGCAUAUUCCAGCUUAGUCCAAUGCACGAGCACUCUUAUUAUUGUUCACAUCAUUCGGUCGUGCAAGUGAAAUGCAAUAAUGACGAUAUAUGAUGAAGUGACUGAGCCUGGAAAAGCUGGUAUUAACUCGAUCUAUUUUGUUUUUGUAAAUAUGACUAGCUCAUCGUUCCUGAUUCAGCUUUGUCGUGAGGGAAACAUGUUUGCAAUGACAACUUAGAGAUCAUAGUUUCUGAAGCCAUGCUUAAUUAGCUAGGAGCUUAUAAUGGUUUGCUUUGGAUGCCAACAUGAAUUUUGAGAUGACUAUGAUGUAGUAUGAUAGGAUGGUAUCCUCCUUUGAAUGAUUCAAGUGGCUUGACUUGGCGCAUGUUUAUGCAUGUAGUUGAAACAAAAUCAACAUAGCCUCUAUGAUGUUCAUGUUCAUGGUGAUUUAUGUCCUACUCAUGCUUGCACUCAAUGUUGGUUAACCUCAAUGCAUUUUGAUGACUGUUGUCGCUCUCUAGUUGGUCGCUUCCCAGUCUUUUGCUAGCCUUCACUUAUACUAAGCGAGAAUACUACUUGUGCAUCCACUUCCAUAAACCCAAAGUUGUUCCAUAUGAGUCCACCAUACCUACCUAUAUGCGGUAUCUACUUGUCGUUCCAAGUAAAUUCGCAUGUGCCACUCUCUAAAUCUUCAAGAAAUAAUCUAUUUUGCAUGUCCGAACCGCUCAUGUGGUGACAGGGGCUAUCAGUAUCUUCCAUGUUAGGUGUGUUAUCCUCGGUAUGUGUUUAUUCACUAUCAUUCACGAGAAAGGGGCCGGUAAUUGGAAUGCCCAGUUCCAUGCUCAAAUAGAAAAGAUAAUUGCAAACAAAACUCCCCCUGGGUUGAUGUUGGUAUGGACGGCACCCGAGUAUUCGGCUAGUCGUGGAGUGUGAUUGAUCGGUGGUGGGGGAGUCAAAACUUUACUUUUCUGUUUGGGAACCGCCUAUAGCAUGUGUAGCAUGGAAGAUGGUGAGAACUCUUAGUCAUUGCGUUGACAAUGAAAGCAUGCCACCCAAAAUUAUUAUAUCUAUUUUCAAAAGCUUGAGUUGUGGCACCUCUGCAAAUCAAUGCUUCCCUCUGCGAAGGGCAUGUCUAUUUAUGUUCGUGUUGAGUCAUCCUCUUCUUAUAAAAGCACCAAUUAGAGAGCAUCUCUGUCAUUUUUAUGCUUUGAUUUUAACUGUGAUUGAGUUGUUGGGGAACGUCGCAUGGGAAACAAAAAAUUUCCUACACGCACGAAGACCUAUCAUGGUGAUGUCCAUCUACGAGAGGGGAUGAGUGAUCUACGUACCCUUGUAGACCGUACAGCAGAAGCGUUAGAGAACGCGGUUGAUGUAGUGGAACGUCCUCACGUCCCUCGAUCCGCCCCGCGAACAAUCCCGCGAUCAGUCCCACGAUCUUGUACCGAACGGACGGCACCUCCGCGUUCAGCACACGUACAGCUCGACGAUGAUCUCGGCCUUCUUGAUCCAGCAAGAGAGGCGGAGAGGUAGAAGAGUUCUCCGGCAGCGUGACGGCGCUCCGGAGGUUGGUGAUGAUCUUGUCUCAGCAGGGCUCCGCCCGAGCUCCGCAGAAACAAGAUCCAGAGGAAAAACUAUGAGGUAUGUGGUCGGGCAGCCGUGAGAAAGUCAUCUCAAAUCUGCCCUAAAAGCCCCAUAUAUAUAGGAGGAGGGAGGGGGACCUUGCCUUGGGGUCCAAGGGACUCCCAAGGGGUCGGCCGAGCCAAGGGGGGGAGGACUCCCCCCCCCCAAACCGAGUUGGACUUGGUUUGGUGGGAGGAGUCCCCCUCCCUUCCCACUUCUUCCCUCRUUUUUUUUUUCUUUUCCUUUGAUUUUCUUAUCUUGGCGCAUAGGCUCCCUUGGGGCUGUCCCACCAGCCCACUAAGGGCUGGUGUGUCCCCCAAAAGCCUAUGGGCUUCCCCGGAGUGGGUUGCCCCCCUCCGGUGAACUCCCGGAACCCAUUCGUCAUUCCCGAUACAUUCCCGGUAACUCCGAAAACCUUCCGAUAAUCAAAUGAGGUCAUCCUAUAUAUCAAUCUUCGUUUCCGAACCAUUCCGGAAACCCUCGUGACGUCCGUGAUCUCAUCCGGGACUCCGAACAACAUUCGGUAACCAACCAUAUAACUCAAAUACGCAUAAAACAACGUCGAACCUUAAGUGUGCAGACCCUGCGGGUUCGAGAACUAUGUAGACAUGACCCAAGAGACUCCUCGGUCAAUAUCCAAUAGCGGGACCUGGAUGCCCAUAUUGGAUCCUACAUAUUCUACGAAGAUCUUUAUCGUUUGAACCUCAGUGCCAAGGAUUCGUAUAAUCCCGUAUGUCAUUCCCUUUGUCCUUCGGUAUGUUACUUGCCCGAGAUUCGAUCGUCAGUAUCCGUAUACCUAUUUCAAUCUCGUUUACCGGCAAGUCUCUUUACUCGUUCCGUAAUACAAGAUCCCGCAACUUACACUAAGUUACAUUGCUUGCAAGGCUUGUGUGUGAUGUUGUAUUACCGAGUGGGCCCCGAGAUACCUCUCCGUCACACGGAGUGACAAAUCCCAGUCUUGAUCCAUACUAACUCAACUAACACCUUCGGAGAUACCUGUAGAGCAUCUUUAUAGUCACCCAGUUACGUUGCGACGUUUGAUACACACAAAGCAUUCCUCCGGUGUCAGUGAGUUAUAUGAUCUCAUGGUCAUAGGAAUAAAUACUUGACACGCAGAAAACAGUAGCAACAAAAUGACACGAUCAACAUGCUACGUCUAUUAGUUUGGGUCUAGUCCAUCACGUGAUUCUCCUAAUGACGUGAUCCAGUUAUCAAGCAACAACACCUUGUUCAUAAUCAGAAGACACUGACUAUCAUCGAUCAACUGGCUAGCCAACUAGAGGCAUGCUAGGGACGGUGUUUUGUCUAUGUAUCCACACAUGUAAAUGAGUCUUCAUUCAAUACAAUUAUAGCAUGGAUAAUAAACUAUUAUCUUGAUACAGGAAUUAUAAUAAUAAUUAUACAUUUAUUAUUGCCCCUAGGGCAUAAUUCCAACAAUCUCCCACUUGCACUAGAGUCAAUAAUCUAACCCUCACAUCACCAUGUGAAUUACAUUGUAAUAAAUCUAACACCCAUACAGUUCUGGUGUCGAUCAUGUUUUGGCCGUGGAAGAGGUUUAGUCAGCGGGUCUGCUACAUUCAGAUCCGUGUGCACUUUGCAUAUAUUUACGUCCUCCUCCUC
rnacentral:lncRNA from 1 species